rnacentral:rRNA from 1 species
UAUGUAGCUAUUUCUGCUCCAUGGUUUUGCUAAAUAGCCGCAGUACUCUGACUGUGCAAAGGUAGCAUAAUCAGUUGGCUCUUAAUUAGAGUCUGGAAUGAACGAAUAUAUGGGUGGUAACUAUCUUAAUACAUUUAUGUGAAGUUUGUUAGUAAGUGCAAAUACUUACCUAAUUAAAAAAGACGAGAAGACCCUAGAAGCUUGAAAAUAGUUUUGUUGGGGCGACAGAAUUGCAUUUAACCAAUUUUAAUAUACAUGAAGCUUUACUGUAAGAGUAAGCUACUCUAGGGAUAACAGCAUAAUUUUUACAGUUUGUGACCUCGAUGUUGGACUAGGUAUGUGACUUUUUAGAAGAAAGUAGCAUUUGCUCUGUUCGAGCAUGAACACCUACAU